UGGGGAAUUUUGGACAAUGGGCGAAAGCCUGAUCCAGCAAUGCCGCGUGUGUGAAGAAGGCCUUCGGGUUGUAAAGCACUUUUGUCCGGAAAGAAAACGCCGUGGUUAAUACCCGUGGCGGAUGACGGUACCGGAAGAAUAAGCACCGGCUAACUACGUGCCAGCAGCCGCGGUAAUACGUAGGGUGCAAGCGUUAAUCGGAAUUACUGGGCGUAAAGCGUGCGCAGGCGGUCCGCUAAGACAGAUCUGAAAUCCCCGGGCUUAACCUGGGAACUGCAUUUGUGACUGGCGGGCUAGAGUAUGGCAGAGGGGGGUAGAAUUCCACGUGUAGCAGUGAAAUGCGUAGAGAUGUGGAGGAAUACCGAUGGCGAAGGCAGCCCCCUGGGCCAAUACUGACGCUCAUGCACGAAAGCGUGGGGAGCAAACAGG
rnacentral:rRNA from 1 species